rnacentral:rRNA from 1 species
UACGAAGGGGGCUAGCGUUGCUCGGAAUCACUGGGCGUAAAGGGUGCGUAGGCGGGUCUUUUAAGUCAGGGGUGAAAUCCUGGAGCUCAACUCCAGAACUGCCUUUGAUACUGAGGAUCUUGAGUUCGGGAGAGGUGAGUGGAACUGCGAGUGUAGAGGUGAAAUUCGUAGAUAUUCGCAAGAACACCAGUGGCGAAGGCGGCUCACUGGCCCGAUACUGACGCUGAGGCACGAAAGCGUGGGGGAUCAAACAGGG